AAUACGACUCUCAUAAUAACACCAAGCUUUUAUCAGAAUGAUGCUGCGUUUAAAGAGGUGAUUUCUGCCAACAAUCUGAUCAACCUGUUCAAGAUAACAGAGAGUAGAAAGCCCUCCUAACUGAUUAAAGGAUAUAUCUACCACAAUAUUUUGUACAAUGCAUUUUAUAAGCUUAACCUCAGCAUCAAUGCAAUGGACAUCCUUCACUUCAUAUGGAGCAUCCUUACUCCGCUCUUCUCGUCUCAGAACAGCAUGAACAUCAAUGACCAAUGCAUCCUCAACAGCUGGACUGCAAAUGGCAGUCAAAUCAAUAUCUCCAUCUGGAAGAUAUGUCUUCAGUGGGACUGACCCAUAUGGGAAAACCUCAUAUCCAAGGGAAGAUUUAAUGAGAGCCUGCACAUACUCUAUGACCUCCUUUCUCUUACAAUCGGCUUCAACAGUUGGACGAAUCCUAUUAACUAUCUUCCUUGCAGCUUCCUCCGCUCUCUCCCAGUUCUCCUCCGGAAUUUGAACCUCUCUUUUCAACACGACACCCACAUCACCCAUCACCAUGACAUUGAAAGGAACCGUAAAUUACAAUGAGAGAAUAAGGAAGCCGGCCGGUAGAUGAGACGAGGAAACGCGUCGUUAAAUGGAGAGAGAAAGAAGGUGGGUUCUUUGCAGCACGGACUAUUCGGUUGGGAUCAUCAUGUGAAUGAGAAAAACUUUGUUUCUUAUGUAGUUUCUUAUUGCUCUUUGCUUCUCAGAUUUUGUUGUUAUGCGAAGGAAAGCAAAGGAGGAGGAGGAGAAGGACAAUGAGAAAGGGGAACGAGAAGGGACAAGGGAGGGAAUGUUUUCCUUCCAAAAACCUCCCGAAAGACCCUUUCCUUCGUUCUUUCUUUCCCCUGUCUCUGACUUUUCUCUUGUUUUCUGUUUGUUUUUUUCCAAUGGCGAG
rnacentral:misc_RNA from 1 species